CGCCGUGUCCCCAAGGCAGCUGACUACACCUCCCCCACCCUCCUGCAGCAGGGUGGAUCCCACCUAGCGGGACUCCCCACCCACCCCUCCAGGCCUUCUCCACUCCGGACUCUGGCCACUUGCCACCGUUGUCGCCCGCCGCCGCUGCAGGGAGGGUGCACGGAGGGAGCAGACCGUCUCCGGAGCCCGCCGCCCUGGGGGCUGCAGUGAUGGGGCCGGGCUGAGGCACCUGCCGGCGGGGUAGCAGGGCAGUCGAGCACGGAGGGAGGGGCGGGCCUCCAGGGGACUUCAGCGGGAGCCGGGCCUGGGGCGGUGCCGCACUUGCACACGGAGUGUGGGGGGCCAGGCCUGGGACCAGGAGCUGGGGCCGGGCUUCGGCGCAGAGGCAGGAAGAGGAAGCGGCACCCGCUUCGGGGACCCAGCCGGCGGCCAGGCCACCGCGCCCACCCGGCCGAUGGCACCGUGUUCCUGCGCCUCGGGAGGGAGGAGGCUCUGCGCGGGACUGCAGGUUCUGCCCCGCAUCGGAGUGAUCGCUGAGCCUGACGCUCUCGAAGGCUGGGCCUGGGGCCCGCAAUCUACUCCGGAGGCUUUCCCACUGGGCAGGGUCGCUAGCAGGGAGGAAGCAUUCCCAUGUGAAAGAUGAGCUCCCUAUAAAAGCAACGCUCUUAUCAUCGAGAACAGAAAGUUGAAGCCAAGAGAGAGCUCCACAAGCUGACCUUGUUAAACUAACCCUUAUCUUCUUAGUCGCUUCUUUACCCAAUUAACUACCCUAGCCGAAGCCCCUUUGCCUUAUUACAUUUUGCAACAGUGUUCGUUGUCCAAUUCAGUAUACAAGUGAGUGACUCUGGA
rnacentral:lncRNA from 10 species